UACAGAGGGGGCAAGCGUUAUUCGGAAUUAUUGGGCGUAAAGGGCGCGUAGGCGGCUUGACAAGUGGCGGGUGAAAUCCCUCGGCUUAACCGAGGAACUGCCUGCCAGACUGUCUUGCUUGAGACCGGGAGAGGUGAGUGGAAUUCCCAGUGUAGCGGUGAAAUGCGUAGAUAUUGGGAGGAACACCAGUGGCGAAGGCGGCUCACUGGACCGGAACUGACGCUGAGGCGCGAAAGCGUGGGGAGCAAACGGG
rnacentral:rRNA from 1 species